GCCGGCGUAGCUCAGGGGCAGAGCGCCCGCCUUGUAAGCGGGUGGUCGUCGGUUCGAAUCCGACCGCCGGCU
rnacentral:tRNA from 1 species